CUGACCUUAGUGGGAAUGAGGUAUAUAGCAGUCCUCAGUUUUAGUUAGAAUGAAAAAUAGGCAUUUGUGUCACCUUGGCCAAGCCAUUUACCAUCUCUAGACACCCAUUUUUGACUGUCAUAUGGGGAGAUGGAUCUACAAAUUUGGGGUCUUUAGUUCCACAAAAUACUUCCAGUGAACAAAUAGAGAUAAAAGAAUCACUUGGAGUGAUUGGUUUGACAGAUAUUUUCAUCUGCUUGAUGAAGCUGACUGGUUGAUCUGGCAUUGCAUAGAAGCAGCUUAACAUCAGUGAUGUCUGAAGUGGAAUACCUUUUCCUGUUAUAUAGCAUGUACGCAAAAAAGCAAAAAAAAAAAAAGAAAAAAGACAAAUUUUAUCACCUAGAUAAACAAAAUCAAAAGCUAGGAGCCAGAGAGCAGCAGAUCAUUGAAGUUUUCUUGGGAUAUAUAUAUAUAUAUAUAUAUAUAUAUAUAUAUAUAUAUCCAUAAUAAAAAUUCAUCAGCUUCUGCUACCGACUUCCUGAAGGAAAAUGGAGGAACUUGACGAUGAUAGGUGAUGGCUGUUAUUGUGCCAGAAGCCUACCUGAGUGCUCUACCAGGAGCCAAAGUUGAAGGCUGAAAAAGGAGAAGGGUUUUGUCACCAGCCACACACAGUGUUAGUGAAUGUGAACUUAGAAGUCAAGCUAAUGCCUUAACACUGAUGAAGUUCACCUAACAAGUAUGAUUUUUGAAACACUGGUGCUUCAAUAAAUGAAAUUAAUCCUAGUUUCUGUUGUCA
rnacentral:lncRNA from 1 species